rnacentral:rRNA from 1 species
GCUCAGAUUGAACGCUGGCGGCAUGCUUUACACAUGCAAGUCGAACGGCAGCACGAAAGAGCUUGCUCUUUUGGUGGCGAGUGGCGAACGGGUGAGUAAUACAUUGGAACGUACCGAGUAAUGGGGGAUAACUGUCCGAAAGGAUGGCUAAUACCGCAUACGCUCUGAGGAGGAAAGCGGGGGACCUUCGGGCCUCGCGUUAUUCGAGCGGCCAAUGUCUGAUUAGCUAGUUGGUGGGGUAAAGGCCUACCAAGGCGACGAUCAGUAGUGGGUCUGAGAGGAUGAUCCGCCACACUGGGACUGAGACACGGCCCAGACUCCUACGGGAGGCAGCAGUGGGGAAUUUUGGACAAUGGGCGAAAGCCUGAUCCAGCCAUGCCGCGUGUCUGAAGAAGGCCUUCGGGUUGUAAAGGACUUUUGUCAGGGAAGAAAGGGUUUGGGUUAAUACCCUGAGCUUAUGACGGU